GCAGGGAUGGAGCUGGGUGGGGGAGCAGAGAGCGAAGUGGGGAGCAGGGAGCAAACCCACAGAGGAGCUGGGCAUGGGGCAGCUGUGAUGUGUGCAGCAGAUUCUCUCAGUUUGCUCAGAGCUCCGCUUUCUGCUACCAGAAACCUCACUGGGGAACAUCUCAAGGCUUCAGUGCAAGCUCGGUGCUGCUGCCUCCUGCAAAGAGGGCUCCAGUGCCAGGCUCUGCCCCCCCAGAGCCCUUGCUGUGCGCAUGGGGCCAGCCUCGUCCCUGCAGCUUCCUCGGGAAGCUUCCUCCUCCUCCGCUGCGUGGUGCCCAGGAGGGGCCAUCAAUGGCAGGAGGAAGCAAAAAAUAACCUCGGCUGCAGAUCUGGAAGCUGCUGUCUCCCAUAACGACGCUGAAUCGCGGCUCUGGGGAAUGGUCUGCGGGCUCUGCUGACGGGGGGACAUCUCUGGAAUCCUAAAAGGGCCUUCUGAGAAGCUGGGCAGGCAGCAGCCCUCCGUGAUGCCGGCUGUGCGUAUCCCCGGGUGCCAGAGCGGGGGGACCCGGCCAGCUCUGAGACGGCACCAGCUUUAGAAGCAGCAGGUUCCAGCUGAGCGUGCCUUUUAAUGAACAGCCUCUCCACGCAAAGGGCUGCGCUGUCUGCAGCCUCGGUAUCAAGCAGGGCGCAGUGCCGUGCGAGCGCAGCGAUGAAGAAAAGCCCCGGGACGUGGGGCUCGUCGUUUCCCGAGUCGCCGAUCUCCUUGGUUACAGCAACUCCCCUCAACACACAACGCAACCGCGCUGCCCGAGCUCAGGCUGCCAGCAGCAGCCCCUCAGCUGGAGAGCUGGGAUCCCGGCUUUGUGGGGAGCUCCCCGCAGUCUGGCACCGCCUCGCAGGGCUCCGGGGACACGUGGCAGCACGGGAAGGCUGCUGUGUGCUGGGAGGGCUCCUGCAGGUGCUCACAGCCGCUUUGCAGAGGCGUCGCUCAGCAGCUGCAGCGUUGGCACCGCUGUCGGGGCAGCGCUGACGAGCGCGAUCCCAAUUACCGCGAGCUGCUGGGGCAGGGUGCUGAGCCACAACCGCUCCACGCCGUGUCAGGGACGAGGAUGGCUUUGGGCAGCUGGCUGCUCCUUCUGUGCAGAGCUGGCCCCGGGGGUGCCAGCAGGGUGGUUGUGGGGCUGUGGGCUCAGCUCCCUGCCCUGGCACGGCUGCAGCACCGUGCCCACACGGCGAGGCUCCUGCAGCGCCCUGCGGCUGCCAGGGCAUGGGCAGAGGGACCCGACUGCCUCCCCUGCACACAGCCCGGCCACAGCACCCCAAACUGCCAGCUCUGUGUUCCAAACCUCGCUUCUGCUUCUCCCCCCUUGGUUUCCUGGAGGGUGAAGUCUCUGCCAGACAGCAGCGGCUCUGAGGAGGAGCCUCCAAACCCCCGGCUUUUGCUGCAAACAAAGGGCUCGUUUCCACACGCUGCCUGUGUGGGGAGAUUUCCCCAGCCAAACCUGCUGUGCUGUGCAGGAGCCCUGCAGCA